GGGGCUGACAGGUUUCGACGUCAGAUUCGAUGUUCGAGCGUGCGACUCGAGUUGCUCAGACUCGUAAAACGGGGCAAAAAAAUAACUGCCAAAAAGCAGUUCGCUCUCGCCGCCUAAUUAAGCGGUAAGAGAGCAACCGUGAACCGCAAGGUCGCACGGGGCCAAUUCACCGCAGCCCGGCAACAGAAGCGGGGAAUGACAGCGAGAAAGAACGCUGACGUCGAGAAAGACCGAUGACAGCACGGAAAGUCGUGCCGCGGCCUCGUAAGAGACAGUCGACCCGCCGACGGUGUUGCGUCAGCACCACUGCGGGAAUAGUCGUAUCACGGGCGAUCACCGGCUGAUGGACGGGGGUUCGAUUCCCCCCAGCUCCACCA
rnacentral:tmRNA from 1 species